GUUUGUAUAUUUAUAUAUCAUCAUCUUUACAGAUCAGAAUGUUUGUAUAUUUAUAUAAAUCACCUUAUGGGUCAGAAUGUAUGGAUUUAUAGAACAUCACCAUAUGUGUCAGAAUGUAUGGAUUUAUAGAACAUCACCAUAUGGGUCAGACUGUAUGGAUUUAUAGAACAUCACCAUAUGGGUCAGAAUGUAUGGAUUUAUAGAACAUCACCAUAUGGGUCAGACUGUAUGGAUUUAUAGAACAUCACCAUAUGGGUCAGACUGUAUGGAUUUAUAGAACAUCACCAUAUGGGUCAGAAUGUAUGGAUUUAUAGAACAUCACCAUAUGGGUCAGAAUGUAUGGAUUCAUAUGACAUCACCAUAUGGGUCAGAAUGUAUGCAUUCAUAUGACAUCACCAUAUGGGUCAGAAUGUAUGGAUUUAUAGAACAUCACCAUAUGGGUCAGAAUGUAUGGAUUUAUAGAACAUCACCAUAUGGGUCAGACUGUAUGGAUUUAUAGAACAUCACCAUAUGGGUCAGAAUGUAUGGAUUUAUAGAACAUCACCAUAUGUGUCAGAAUGUAUGGAUUUAUAGAACAUCACCAUAUGGGUCAGAAUGUAUGGAUUUAUAGAACAUCACCAUAUGGGUCAGAAUGUAUGGAUUUAUAGAACAUCACCACAUGUGUCAGAAUGUAUGGAUUUAUAGAACAUCUCCAUAUGGGUCAGAAUGUAUGGAUUUAUAUGACAUCACCAUAUGGGUCAGAAUGUAUGGAUUCAUAUGACAUCACCAUAUGGGUCAGAAUGUAUGGAUUCAUAUGACAUCACCAUAUGGGUCAGAAUGUAUGGAUUUAUAGAACAUCACCAUAUGGGUCAGAAUGUAUGGAUUUAUAGAACAUCACCAUAUGGGUCAGAAUGUAUGGAUUUAUAGAACAUCACCAUAUGGGUCAGAAUGUAUGGAUUUAUAGAACAUCACCAUAUGUGUCAGAAUGUAUGGAUUUAUAUAACAUCACCAUAUGGGUCAGAAUGUAUGCAUUCAUAUGACAUCACCACAUCGUAUAGAUAAUGAGCUUUGCAGGUCCAGGCUUACAUUGUAUGGAAGUGUCACAAGAUUUUAACUAAAGGAACUAAUCAAAACAAAGACUAAGAUAAAACAACACAUCCAAGGCACUCAUAGACACAGCAGGGUCAAAUGUUAGAGGUCAGGGGUUGACAUGACAACACGAAUGCACUGCAGCAAUAGCUACUGGUCAGUAGGAAGUCUGGGCUGUAUUGAGGGAUGUUUAACAUCAGUUCAGGAACAUUUAGCAGGUUUAAAGUUCAUAACAGCAGGCCCCAGUGAAAAGUGUGCAUGCUGCAUUUUCAUUCUGUGUCUCAAAUUGCAGCCAAUGUAGCAUGAUAGCCUUUACCAGACACCUAGAACCUUAUUUCCUGUUUAGUUUGCAUUUUGGGACUUACCCUCAGUGAUUCUUGUGCUCAGUGUCAAACCUCAUACAGCUUUGGGCUUCAUACCGGGUGGUGCCAUAUACUUUAUAUUUCAGACUAAAAAUGUACAUUUUAGAAUUGUAUCCAGAGCCACUUAAAAAAGCAACUUAUUUCAAAUUUUUAGGAUUUUUUCCUUUGACCUUUUGGUUACUGGCCCUAAACUGUACCCACCAGACUCCACUCCACCCAAAAAAUAAUGUAAAUAAUGUACAUUAUGUCAUAGACUUUACCAUUUAUUUAUAGUGUACUUUUUAUUUAAUAUUAUAGACUUCCCCAAUCAUUUAACUCCUCAAAUACAUUUCAUAUCAUAUACUUCACAAAUAAUUUAAAUG
ensembl:lncRNA